GGUGCUAUGGUGUAGUGGUAGCACAUGGGAUUCUGAUUGAAUGAUUUCCCAUAACCCAGGUUCGAUCCCUGGUAGUACCU